AGUGAACGCUGGCGGUAUGCCUAACACAUGCAAGUCGAACGGCAGCACAGUAAGAGCUUGCUCUUACGGGUGGCGAGUGGCGGACGGGUGAGGAAUACAUCGGAAUCUACUUUUUCGUGGGGGAUAACGUAGGGAAACUUACGCUAAUACCGCAUACGACCUACGGGUGGAAGCAGGGGAUCUUCGGACCUUGCGCGAUUGAAUGAGCCGAUGUCGGAUUAGCUAGUUGGCGGGGUAAAGGCCCACCAAGGCGACGAUCCGUAGCUGGUCUGAGAGGAUGAUCAGCCACACUGGAACUGAGACACGGCCCAGACUCCUACGGGAGGCAGCAGUGGGGAAUAUUGGACAAUGGGCGCAAGCCUGAUCCAGCCAUACCGCGUGGGUGAAGAAGGCCUUCGGGUUGUAAAGCCCUUUUGUUGGGAAAGAAAAGCAGCAGGUUAAUACCCCGCUGUUCUGACGGUACCCAAAGAAUAAGCACCGGCUAACUUCGUG
rnacentral:rRNA from 1 species